rnacentral:rRNA from 1 species
AGCGAACGCUGGCGGCAGGCUUAACACAUGCAAGUCGAGCGGGCACCUUCGGGUGUCAGCGGCAGACGGGUGAGUAACACGUGGGAACGUACCCUUCGGUUCGGAAUAACGCUGGGAAACUAGCGCUAAUACCGGAUACGCCCUUAUGGGGAAAGGUUUACUGCCGAAGGAUCGGCCCGCGUCUGAUUAGCUAGUUGGUGGGGUAACGCCCUACCAAGGCGACGAUCAGUAGCUGGUCUGAGAGGAUGAUCAGCCACACUGGGACUGAGACACGGCCCAGACUCCUACGGGAGGCAGCAGUGGGGAAUAUUGGACAAUGGGCGCAAGCCUGAUCCAGCCAUGCCGCGUGAGUGAUGAAGGCCUUAGGGUUGUAAAGCUCUUUUGUCCGGGACGAUAAUGGCGGUACCGGAAGAAUAAGCCCCGGCUAACUUCGUG